rnacentral:rRNA from 2 species
GGGUGAGUAACACGUGAGUAACCUGCCCCAGGCUUUGGGAUAACCCCGGGAAACCGGGGCUAAUACCGGAUAUGACUGGCUGCCGCAUGGUGGUUGGUGGAAAGAUUUUUCGGCUUGGGAUGGACUCGCGGCCUAUCAGCUUGUUGGUGGGGUAAUGGCCUACCAAGGCGGCGACGGGUAGCCGGCCUGAGAGGGCGACCGGCCACACUGGGACUGAGACACGGCCCAGACUCCUACGGGAGGCAGCAGUGGGGAAUCUUGCACAAUGGGCGGAAGCCUGAUGCAGCGACGCCGCGUGAGGGAUGACGGCCUUCGGGUUGUAAACCUCUUUCAGCAGGGACGAAGCGUUUGUGACGGUACCUGCAGAAGAAGCGCCGGCCAACUACGUGCCAGCAGCCGCGGUAAGACGUAGGGCGCGAGCGUUGUCCGGAUUUAUUGGGCGUAAAGAGCUCGUAGGCGGCUUGUCGCGUCGACUGUGAAAACCCGUGGCUCAACUGCGGGCUUGCAGUCGAUACGGGCAGGCUAGAGUUCGGUAGGGGAGACUGGAAUUCCUGGUGUAGCGGUGAAAUGCGCAGAUAUCA